GACCACGGUACUGGUUCUGGAAGUUCUGAGCCCCUUCUGGCUGAGGAGCAGGGAGUACCUAUUUGAGAUCUUUGUUCUCUUUCACAGGAACAGGUGUGAGAACUGCAAGGUCAUAAACAAUCAAAUGACUGACCACUAUGGCAGACUAAUCACCGCCUACAUGAAGUUAGCCUUUGCACAUUUGAUAUGAUUUCACAAUGAUGUUCCCAAGCUGCAGUGGAAAAUAUACUUUUCACUUGUGAAAAAGAACAAGUGUGUUUUGGGUAACUUGAAUGAAGACUAGGCUGUGGGGUUCCUGGAAAACACCUAAGGGCCAUCAGUGGUCCACAGACUUCAAGAAAUAUACAGCCAUCAGGUGAGGCUUUUCUGGAGACAGUGCCUGGAACAUAACAAUGCUGGACAAGUGUGAAGCCAGAAUUUUCUCAGUGGCAUCAGACUUCUGUCACAAAUAUGAGUUGAGCACUUCCCUACAGUGCUGAGGAUCCUAGGAGAUGAGGGAAGUGACUCCUGGUCAGGUCAAAUGACUUUUCCGGGUUUCCCGGGUGACAGAGUCAGAAAGAGCAAGGACAUCUUUCAACAUCCUGGCCAGUGCUCUUGGCAUGUUCCCUUCAUUAUUAUACUUUAAAAUUAUUGGACUUUUAAGGCAAAUUUCCAAGAAAAAUAAGGUAUGUGCAUAGAUAUGAAUGACCAAUAAAUAAAAUUUAACUUAAAAAAAUCCACAAUAUAAAAUUUGUAUUAUUCAGAAUUCAUUUACAUUUGUGGAAAAAUCCAACAUCUUAUUGGUUUUGCAG
rnacentral:lncRNA from 1 species